GAUGAACGCUGGCGGCGUGCCUAAUACAUGCAAGUCGAGCGAACGGACGAGAAGCUUGCUUCUCUGAUGUUAGCGGCGGACGGGUGAGUAACACGUGGAUAACCUACCUAUAAGACUGGGAUAACUUCGGGAAACCGUAGCUAAUACCGGAUAAUAUUUUGAACCGCAUGGUUCAAAAGUGAAAGACGGUCUUGCUGUCACUUAUAGAUGGAUCCGCGCUGCAUUAGCUAGUUGGUAAGGUAACGGCUUACCAAGGCAACGAUGCAUAGCCGACCUGAGAGGCUGAUCGGCCACACUGGAACUGAGACACGGUCCAGCCUCCUACGGGAGGCAGCAGUAGGGAAUCUUCCGCAAUGGGCGAAAGCCUGACGGAGCAACGCCGCGUGAGUGAUGAAGGUCUUCGGAUCGUAAAACUCUGUUAUUAGGGAAGAACAUAUGUGUAAGUAACUGUGCACAUCUUGACGGUACCUAAUCAGAAAGCCACGGCUAACUACGUG
rnacentral:rRNA from 1 species